rnacentral:tRNA from 1 species
UGGUGAGAUGUCCGAGUGGCCGAAGGAGCACGCCUGGAAAGUGUGUAUACCGCAAGGUAUCGAGGGUUCGACUCCCUCUCUCACCGCCAA